GACGAACGCUGGCGGCGUGCUUAACACAUGCAAGUCGAACGGAAAGGCCCUGCUUUUGUGGGGUGCUCGAGUGGCGAACGGGUGAGUAACACGUGAGUAACCUGCCCUUGACUUUGGGAUAACUUCAGGAAACUGGGGCUAAUACCGGAUAGGAGCUCCUGCUGCAUGGUGGGGGUUGGAAAGUUUCGGCGGUUGGGGAUGGACUCGCGGCUUAUCAGCUUGUUGGUGGGGUAGUGGCUUACCAAGGCUUUGACGGGUAGCCGGCCUGAGAGGGUGACCGGGGACAUUGGGACUGAGAGAGGGCCCAGAGACGUAUGGGGGGCGGAGGAGGGGAGAAUUGCGCAAAGGGGGGGGGCGUGUGAUAGCGACGCCGCGUGCGGGAGGACGGGCUUUGGGGGUUGAACAGCUUUUGCCCGUGACGAGACGUGAGUGACGGUAAAGGGGAAAGAAGCACCGGGUAACAACGUG
rnacentral:rRNA from 1 species